GUGAGGGGUCUGGAGGAUGUUUACAAAAGUCUGCAGCAGCUCUGAAACGGCAUUUUAACCCAGCAUGGGGAGGAGAGGUGAUUACUACUUUUAGCAUGGACACACAGUCACUGAAACAAUGCAAAAACCCUUAUUUCACUGACACAACUGCUACAAGAUUCAUCCUCUAGGAACCACAAAUAACUAAACCACUUUAUUACGUCAAUCCAUCCAAUGGCUGUUGAUGGUUCGGUCUAGACGACAGGGUUCGAGGACUGACAUUGUGAUUCCUCGCGCUCACUGGAAGCUUAAAGCUGACAUGAGAAUUUCAUCUUUCAUUUUCAGGGAUGUGUGUCUGCGUGUCUGCUGUUCUCCGCGUCUGUUGUUGUUAUUUUUAGAGCUAAAAGUCUGGGUCUUUCACCUGCUGGGUCUGUCAGUCUGUGACCACUUCAAGGCCCAAGGAGCAGCAGAUCUAAUCUGACCAAACAGUCAGCCCUCAGCUCCCUCUGCAUGCUGCCUGUGAACAGCUGGACCCGGUCGUGUGGAUGAAGUCCGUCAGCCGGACCAGUCAGACCGGCCGUCCGGUCUCCGUUUUGCUACCACCAACUGUGCGCACGUGACGGCGUUCGUCAUGUGACUGCCGCCUGUCUGCUUCAGUGUCAGAGCUCAGCAGCCUGCAGACCACCACGGGAGGCUGUUGUUGUUAGUUCCAACUCUUUGGAGCAGAUGAGGGGCCGUAAAACCUCACCUCACGUUAAGCCCACUGCAGGCUCAGCUCAUUAUGAAUCGGUCCUCUCAGGUUUUAUUAUGUUUUAUCAUCUGUUUAACUCUGAUUUGUGUUUGCUGCCUUCUUCUUUGGUCUUUUAUCUUAGAGGGAGACCCCUCCUGAUGGAGACGGAUGAGCCUGUCACACUCAGCUGUUUGGCCGGAUGAUGUAUCACCGAGACUUGGACUUACAGUCAGGACAUGUGCUUUUGUUACAACAACAUCAGCACGGCCUUUACAUGUCUGAUUUAUUGCUCUGAUUAAGUGCAGGGGCAGACAGAGAAGAGACUGUCCCACAUUAUUAUGCUUACAACCUUGUUAAUUACAUGACUAACAUCAUCAUUUUUCUCACAUUUGUUUUCGAGAUUUUAAUCAUGUCUGAUGCUGUUAUUUUUUCAUUAGCACUUUUUCUCUGUUUUCUUUUUAAACAGACUUUUCUUUACGUCUGGGGAGUCUUGUUUCUUUUUGUUUUCAUGACUUCCACUUUGAAGAAACUCCUAACAUAACACCAUAAGUUAGAUACACUACAUUACGGUGUGAUACCACGUUUUCAUAUGAUAUAAAACAAUAUAAUUGAACAUCAAUUCAAUCAUAUCUUAUUAUGUCAAUUCAAGAUUUGAUAUACUACAACGUGACAUAUGACAAUACAAUGUCCUAUGCUACGCUAACGUACGAUACACUACAAUAAGCUACAAUAUGCUGGAUUGCUGGAGGAGGCAGGAUUUAUGACCUAUACUGCAGCCCGUCACCAGAGGGUGCUGUUCUCGCUGUGGCUUCAUCCAGUGAGGAGGCAGACGGCGUCCAUUCUAGAUACAGUCUAUGGAUAAGAUAUGUUACAAUACAAUAUGAUACAGUACUAAUAGAAAACGAUGCAAUAAGGUGAUACAAUUAGAUACGAUAUGAUAUGAUACAUCACAGAAUGAAAAUAUAAAAUAAUAUAAGAUACAGUGUCAUGAAAUAGAUGCAAUACAAUAAGAUAUGAUACAACAUGAUUCAAUACAAUAUCAUACAUUAUAACAUACAAUAAAAGGAUGAUACCAUACAAUAUGAUGCAUUAUAUGAUCUGAUAUUCGAUCCGAUACAAUAUCAUAUGAUAUCAUAUAAUCAUAUUAUAAAACAAAAACCUGUGCUGUUAACAGAAGGCCCCUUUAGGUGCUAUAUGUAUUAUUGUAGAAUCUUCAGACCCCCUUAGUAUUUUUUCCCUUUUUUUAAUACUUCUUUAUCUAUAUAUGCUUUAUCAUAUUACCAGAGAAGUAUUACACUGAAACACGUACAGAGCAGAGUGGGAAAAUGGUGGGACCACAGCUUAUUUUCACUCCAGGGCCCCAUAGAGAGUUAAUCCGUUGCUAAGCCUAUUGAUAUACAGGCUUAGUCAUUUUUAAACAUGUUGACCUGACAAUAUAUUUAAAUGAAACUGUGGUUUCGGGUCAGCUCGCUCCCUUUAAGUGAUUAAAAGUAAUCCAACAACCAAAACAAACUGAACUAAGAGAGUGUUACACAGAGAGUCACGGACCGAAAACGAGAGACUGAGUCUGACAUUCACCUCCGGGUUUCUGGUCUCGUCUCAGACUUGUUUUCUCUUACACAAUGGUUCGCUUAUGGAGCACUUGACUUCUUAAUCAUCAUUCUCUCAUCUAAAACAGAGGCGCUUAAGAUUUAAUUAAACACAGCCACGAUCAUAUACAGAACGGUGGACGACAAAAGCAGAUGGAGACAAAAGAGAGAGAGGAACUCCAUUGUUCUAACACUGCACAGGCGUGUGUUGUGGGAGAGGGGAGGAUGAGGUGAAGCACAACUCACGUCAAAUCGAAUAAAUUACUUUGAACAAGGAGGGUCGGGGGGCUGCGGGAGGCCCAUUUAGGAGCUUUUAAAGUCGAGCAGCGUGAAGUCUUAAUUACUGAGACUUAACACUGGCCAGCUCUGCGCUCACGCUGCGACGGUCAGGAGUUGGAGGCUGAAGCCCCCGCCCCGCUUCCUAGGAAGGAGAGAAGACUGAAAACUGGAGACAAAACAGAACAUUUUCACUGUCCCAGACAGCAGGAGGGGAAAUAAAGGUUGAUUAAGUUUCAAAUCGCUGGAUAAAAGCAGUUUAGGCUUCAUCCUGCUCUCCGCCUGGUGUGGUGUGAUGAGAUGGAUUUCCAACAAAUUACACUUUUGUUCCACCGUUUUCAUCUCUGCUGUCGGAUUGAACCUUCAUGCACACUCAGGUUUAUUGGCGGUAAUGAUCCCAGGCUGCUCCCCGCUGACCAAUCACAUGUUGAUGCUUGCUGUUUUAGAUGGAGGCGGGGGAGGGGUCUGAUUCUUGGAAAAGGCCCAAAGGUAGCGUGGGGGUGCUGCUCCAUUAGUUAGGCAUGAUGAUGUGAAUCAUUAUAAGGUUGUACAAGCUGACCUUUGACCUUUAAGAGACAGAGGUGUCAGGUGUCAAAGGCGACUUUACAAUGUUAGUGUUUUACAGUUUCAUAGAGGUGCAGAUGAUUGUUAAUACGACUGAAGUCCAGGUCCAGUAAAAGACUCAAAGAUGUUACCUGGUUAGUUUUUUUUAUGUGUAAAAGUUCAAUAUUCAGCAAAGAUUUAUUUCUAUGCAGAUGAUACACUUACCUAUACACAGAUAAGAUAAGAUAAGAAGAACUUUAUUAAUCCCCGAAGGGAAAUUCAUUUCACCUAAAUGCUUUUCAAACAAAACCAUUUAAAGGUAAAGAGUGUAUAAAUAGGAUUAUUUAAAACUAUAGUGGACAGAUUCUGUAGUGGCUGUUUAUUAAGUUUUCUUCUGGCUUUAUUUAAAAGCAUUUUGUGUAUUUUCCUUAUUUUUCUUGUUCCCCUGUCGUCCUCUCAUGUGAGUUUUCAGUUUGUGUUUGACCCUGUUUUUAAAACAGUGUUUCCUGUUUUAUUUUGUAGGAGUUUUUUCCUUGUGUUUCUAGUCUAGUUUUACUUCCCUAGUUCUCCCUCCCUCGUUAAUCACUCAUGAGUUUCACCUGUGUCUCAUCUGCCUCACCUGUUGCUCGUUUCCCAGUGUGUGUAUAAAGUCCCUGUCUUCUCCUCUGUCCUGGUUGGUUCAUUAUGUGUGCGGUUGCUUUUGUCCCCAGUUGUCUCCUUGUAAUUUUUUCCCCAGUGUCUUUUGUUAGAUUUUUUGGUUGGACGUUUUAAAGUAAGUUUUUGUUGCUUUUCAUUUUAUUUCUUUUUAUUAAAUCCUUUUUUGUCUGCAUUUUUAGGUCCUUUCCCUCUUUGUUUAACCCUGUCUUCAUGACAUUGUCUUUAAAUUAAAAGGUUGGGGGCUCUAUUCCUGGUCCCACUGUCAACAUGCUGGAGACAAUUCACCCCAAAUUUAAUGAAAUGCCCUCUUGCUCACCCUCACAGCGAUGGUGGCCUUUAAGGACAAGAAGCUCCCCGUGAUAAAUGGUGAGUAUGAUCCUCUGUUUGUUGAGGUUUUGCUUUCUUGUGCAUUUCUGCGAUAUCUGUUCUGCUUCAG
rnacentral:lncRNA from 1 species